GCCUGGCUGGCUCAGUUAGUAGAGCAUGUGACUCUUGACCACGGGGUUGUGAGUUCAAGCCCCAUGUUGGGAG
rfam:Ailuropoda melanoleuca scaffold2838_23, whole genome shotgun sequence.